GCAGCUCCCUGACUGGGAUGAAUAGUCCUUGCUGCACUUAAAAGGAAAAACAGCAUAUGGGUGAGCAGGAGGCCCCCAGCUAAUAGAAAUGCACUAUUGAAAGAAGUCUCAUAUGUUUUACGAGCAGCCAGAAGGUGUUGCUGGAAAAGCAUCAGCUGAUUAACUAUUAUUCAGGGAGAAGUUGGAGCAUGGGAGAGCAAAUUUAUAAAGAAACCAGGAAAUUCAAACUCAGUUCUCUUGAAUAAAAAGGAUUGAUGUUCAAAAGAAUUC